CUAACUGGAGGACCGAACCGACUAAUGUUGAAAAAUUAGCGGAUGACUUGUGGCUGGGGGUGAAAGGCCAAUCAAACCGGGAGAUAGCUGGUUCUCCCCGAAAGCUAUUUAGGUAGCGCCUCGUGAACUCAUCUCCGGGGGUAGAGCACUGUUUCGGCAAGGGGGUCAUCCCGACUUACCAACCCGAUGCAAACUGCGAAUACCGGAGAAUGUUAUCACGGGAGACACACGGCGGGUGCUAACGUCCGUCGUGAAGAGGGAAACAACCCAGACCGCCAGCUAAGGUCCCAAAGUCAUGGUUAAGUGGGAAACGAUGUGGGAAGGCCCAGACAGCCAGGAUGUUGGCUUAGAAGCAGCCAUCAUUUAAAGAAAGCGUAAUAGCUCACUGGUCGAGUCGGCCUGCGCGGAAGAUGUAACGGGGCUAAACCAUGCACCGAAGCUGCGGCAGCGACACUAUGUGUUGUUGGGUAGGGGAGCGUUCUGUAAGCCUGUGAAGGUGUACUGUGAGGUAUGCUGGAGGUAUCAGAAGUGCGAAUGCUGACAUAAGUAACGAUAAAGCGGGUGAAAAGCCCGCUCGCCGGAAGACCAAGGGUUCCUGUCCAACGUUAAUCGGGGCAGGGUGAGUCGACCCCUAAGGCGAGGCCGAAAGGCGUAGUCGAUGGGAAACAGGUUAAUAUUCCUGUACUUGGUGUUACUGCGAAGGGGGGACGGAGAAGGCUAUGUUGGCCGGGCGACGGUUGUCCCGGUUUAAGCGUGUAGGCUGGUUUUCCAGGCAAAUCCGGAAAAUCAAGGCUGAGGCGUGAUGACGAGGCACUACGGUGCUGAAGCAACAAAUGCCCUGCUUCCAGGAAAAGCCUCUAAGCAUCAGGUAACAUCAAAUCGUACCCCAAACCGACACAGGUGGUCAGGUAGAGAAUACCAAGGCGCUUGAGAGAACUCGGGUGAAGGAACUAGGCAAAAUGGUGCCGUAACUUCGGGAGAAGGCACGCUGAUAUGUAGGUGAAGUCCCUCGCGGAUGGAGCUGAAAUCAGUCGAAGAUACCAGCUGGCUGCAACUGUUUAUUAAAAACACAGCACUGUGCAAACACGAAAGUGGACGUAUACGGUGUGACGCCUGCCCGGUGCCGGAAGGUUAAUUGAUGGGGUUAGCGCAAGCGAAGCUCUUGAUCGAAGCCCCGGUAAACGGCGGCCGUAACUAUAACGGUCCUAAGGUAGCGAAAUUCCUUGUCGGGUAAGUUCCGACCUGCACGAAUGGCGUAAUGAUGGCCAGGCUGUCUCCACCCGAGACUCAGUGAAAUUGAACUCGCUGUGAAGAUGCAGUGUACCCGCGGCAAGACGGAAAGACCCCGUGAACCUUUACUAUAGCUUGACACUGAACAUUGAGCCUUGAUGUGUAGGAUAGGUGGGAGGCUU
rnacentral:rRNA from 1 species